GCUAGGUGUGGUAGCUCGCACCUGUGGUCUCAGCUAUUCUGGAGGCUGAGGUGGGAGUAUCACUUGAGCCCAGGAAGUUGAGGCUGCAGUGAGCUAUGAUCACGCCACUGCACUCCAACCUGGGCAACAAAGUGAGACCCUAUCUCCA
ensembl:misc_RNA Metazoa_SRP Metazoan signal recognition particle RNA